GUCCCUGUAGCGCAAUGGAGAGUGCAUUGGAAUUCUGAUCCAAAGGUCGUGGGUUCACAUACCAUCUGGGAUG